GACAGAGGGGGCAAGCGUUGCUCGGAAUCACUGGGCGUAAAGGGCGCGUAGGCGGGAUGGCAAGUCGGUCGUGAAAUCCCUGGGCUCAACUCAGGGGGGUCGGCCGAUACUGCCGUUCUUGAGGGAUGCAGAGGAGACUGGAAUUCCCGGUGUAGCGGUGAAAUGUGUAGAGAUCGGGAGGAACACCGGUGGCGAAGGCGGGUCUCUGGGCCGUAACUGACGCUGAGGAGCGAAAGCGUGGGGAGCGAACAGG
rnacentral:rRNA from 1 species